UCUAGAAUAGCUUAAUUUUUAAAGCACUGAUUUUGUAAUUCAGAGAUAAAUUUAUUUUUCUAGAU
rnacentral:tRNA from 1 species